rnacentral:rRNA from 1 species
UACGAAGGGGGCGAGCGUUGUUCGGAAUUACUGGGCGUAAAGGGCGCGCAGGCGGCUCAGACAGUCAGAUGUGAAAGCCCCGGGCUUAACCUGGGAACUGCAUUUGAUACUACUGGGCUUGAGUACGGGAGAGGAUAGUGGAAUUCCCAGUGUAGAGGUGAAAUUCGUAGAUAUUGGGAAGAACACCGGUGGCGAAGGCGGCUAUCUGGACCGUAACUGACGCUGAGGCGCGAAAGCGUGGGGAGCAAACAGG